CAGAUUGUGUAGCUGCCAGCGAUUUCAGAGAGCAAAAGGGACCUCAGAGAAGGAAUCUUCUGUGGAGGUGUAUCAGUGAAGGACUUUUGCGUGUCUUCUCUGUGGAAUUCAUGGGAUAGUCCCAUGAUCCUAGAAGAGAAGAGAAGUGAGACAGCCAGAAGAAACAUGAAGCACAACACCAAAAAUAAAGCGUGAAAUUCCUAAGGAUACAAAAUUAUCUUCAGGAUUCCUCAGGCCUGCCUAUACGUUGUAGGGAUUGUGUAUCUGCAGUGAAUAGCAAGGCAUGCAGAGAUGUGCUGGUGUCCAUAUCAACACUGCCUGCAGAAAAAUUCACUCACCUAGAAAGAAGAGGAGCACACCAUACCAAAAAACUAGACAUCUCCAUUUUUCAUUGUCCUAAGGCCA